rnacentral:rRNA from 1 species
AACGUACGCUGGCGGCACGCCUAACACAUGCAAGUCGAACGAAGUAGCAAUACUUAGUGGCAGACGGGUGAGUAACAUGUAGGUAUCUGCCCUUUGGCCUGGAAUAACACGAGGAAACUUGUGCUAAUACCGGAUAAGUCUUUACGGAGAAAGCUUUAUGCACCAUUGGAUGAGCCUGCACUUGAUUAGUUUGUUGGUGGGGUAAUGGCCUACCAAGACUGUGAUCAAUAGCUGAUUUGAGAGGAUGAUCAGCCACAUUGGGACUGAGACACGGCCCAAACUCCUACGGGAGGCAGCAGUGGGGAAUCUUGCACAAUGGAGGAAACUCUGAUGCAGCGAUGCCGCGUGAGUGAAGAAGGCCCUUGGGUUGUAAAGCUCUUUCGUCGGGGAAGAAAAUGACUGUACCCGAAUAAGAAGGUCCGGCUAACUUCGUGCCAGCAGCCGCGGUAAUACGAAGGGACCUAGCGUAGUUCGGAAUUACUGGGCUUAAAGAGUUCGUAGGUGGUUGAAAUAGUUGGUGGUGAAAUCCCAGAGCUUAACUCUGGAACUGCCAUCAAAACUUUUCAGCUAGAGUAUGAUAGAGGAAAGCAGAAUUUCUAGUGUAGAGGUGAAAUUCGUAGAUAUUAGAAAGAAUACCAAUUGCGAAGGCAGCUUUCUGGAUCAUUACUGACACUGAGGAACGAAAGCAUGGGUAGCGAAGAGGAUUAGAUACCCUCGUAGUCCAUGCCGUAAACGAUGUGUGUUAGACGUUGGAAAUUUAUUUUCAGUGUCGCAGGGAAACCGAUAAACACACCGCCUGGGGAGUACGACCGCAAGGUUAAAACUCAAAUGAAUUGACGGGGACCCGCACAAGUAGUGGAGCAUGUGGUUUAAUUCGAAGAUACGCGCAGAACCUUACCAACACUUGACAUGUUCGUCGCGACUCUAAGAGAUUAGAGUUUUCGGUUCGGCCGGACGAAACACAGGUGCUGCAUGGCUGUCGUCAGCUCGUGUCGUGAGAUGUUGGGUUAAGUCCCGCAACGAGCGCAACCCUCACUUUUAGUCGCCAUCAUUAAGUUGGGCACUCUGAAAGAACUGCCAGUGAUAAGCUGGAGGAAGGUGGGGAUGACGUCAAGUCCUCAUGGCCCUUACGUGUUGGGCUACACACGUGCUACAAUGGUAUCUACAACAGGAAGCAAGACUGCGAAGUUAAGCAAAUCCCUAAAAGAUACCUCAGUUCGGAUUGCACUCUGCAACUCGAGUGCAUGAAAGCUGGAAUUACUAGUAAUCGUGGAUCAGCGUGCCACGGUGAAAUGCGUUCCCGGGUUC